GUAUGUAGUAGGUAGAGGCAUGCCAGUAUAGUGAACAACACUUCUUAAGGUUCGAAGCCUCAAUUCAAGUAACACAAUAAUGAGAAACUCUGCUCUUAGCAAGAGUGAGUUUCUAAUGGUCCUUACCUUGUGGACAUGCUGAAAACUGAUUUCUGUGCCUUAUCCUUUUUCUAACCCAUGUUGCAGGUGAAUCUGCCCUCACACUCUUUGAGUAGUCCUUUACUCCUUGAGAGACUAUAACAGUGGCCAGUAUCAAUAAGAGCCUGCCUGGUGGGUUAUCAGCAAAGGUAUUUGCAGGAUUCCUUUCUGGGCUUCAUUUUGGAAAUUUAUGGCUGUUUUUAUUAAGUGUUCAAAUAUGAUGGUGGGUGGAAGUAGUUUGAAUGUAUUUAUUAUUCUUUAAAUGAAAUAAUGGUGGUAGCACAUAAAAUAGAAAGUUUCUCCUUGGUUUAUUAAUAUCCUGUGUGUAGUUUCUGAAUAGAUAGUACAAAUAGGCUAGUUUGAAGGGUAAAUGAAGUAAGGCAACUGUGUUACACUGGUGGCUAAGAUCUUGGCCUCUCUUGUCCCUGUUUUACCAACUUGCUAUGUGAGCUUCACUUUUAAACAAACCUAUUAAUGAGAUAAGGUCAUUAAUCCAGAACCUUCUCAGAAGUCCCAUCUCUGAAUCUGCUACAUUAGGGAUUAAGUUUCCAAUACAUGAACUUUAAGGGACACACUGAAAUCAUUGCACCAGGCAAGUCAUUGAACCAGGCAAGUCACGUAACUAUAAUGUGCCUCACAUUUCCUUUUGUUCAAAUGGAGUAAUAAUACUGACCUACCUCUUAGGCAGUUUAGAGGUUUGACUAAAACUUUUUAUUAAGCCUUUGAGAUCCUCAACAGAGAAAUUCUCAAGCCCUGCAGACUUUUAUAGUAGCAGUAUCCAGUAUGAAAUUGACAUGCAUGUAUGUCCUAGAUACCAUCAUGGUUCUCUCAAGAGAUUGAACGAGAAGUGGUAUAUAAUGAGUCAGACAAAAACUGAGAAUGCAUUAUCAUUGCCAUGAAAACAUACACAGGAUACAUUUUCCUUAUCUGGGUGGGUUUUUCUUCUUUUUAUGUAUGUAGUUAUUUGUAACCGAAGAAUAAUUUUUAUAAUAUCAACCCCAAAGCUAGUGGUACUGACCUGAGAUUGUGUUUGUUAUUAAUAAAAGUGAAGUGAAUCUGAUUGCA
rnacentral:lncRNA from 1 species